AGCCCAAACCAGAUUUGUUUCGGCAAAACUGGGGUUGUAGGACCUCGAUAUAGGAAGACAAGAUUAGGAGAACGGUCUGGAAAGGCCGGCCAUAGAACAUGAGAGCUGUGUAUCCGAAAAUCUUCGUUGGACUUAGAGGUAUCCUGAGUAGCGCGGGACACGUGAAAUCCUGUGUGAAUCUGCGGGGCCCAUCCCGUAAGGCUAAAUACUCCCGAGAGACCGAUAGUGAACCAGUACCGUGAGGGAAAGGUGAAAAGAACCUCGAACAGAGGAGUGCAAUAGAUCCUGAACCCGUCUGCCUACAAGCGGUAGGAGCAGCCCUGUGCUGUGACUGCGUGCCUUUUGCAUAAUGAACCUACGAGUUACUUUCUCUGGCAAGGUUAAGUGAUGAAGAGUCACGUGAGCCGAAGCGAAAGCGAGUCUGAAUAGGGCGAAUUAGUCAGAGGGAGUAGACGCGAAACCAAGUGAUCUACCCUUGGUCAGGUUGAAGGUUGGGUAAAACCAACUGGAGGACCGCACCGGUAAGCGUUGAAAAGCUUUCGGAUGAACUGAGGGUAGGGGUGAAAGGCUAAUCAAACUUGGAGAUAGCUCGUACUCCCCGAAAUGCAUUUAGGUGCAGCCUGUGGAGUUUCUUACGUGAGGUAGAGCGACUGAUUGGAUGCGAGGCUUUCACCGGCUAUCAAGUCCAGACAAACUCCGAAUGCACGUUAAGUAAGAUCCACGGAGUGAGGGCAUGGGUGCUAAGGUCCAUGUCCGAGAGGAGAAGAAUCCAGACCAUCGGCUAAGGUCCCGAAAUAAUAGCUAAGUUGACCAAACGAAGUCAGAGUGCGAAGACAGCUAGGAUGUUGGCUUGGAAGCAGCCAUUCAUUUAAAGAGUGCGUAACAGCUCACUAGUCGAGUGCUUUGGCGUGGAUAAUAAUCGGGCAUAAGCUAUUUACCGAAGCUGUGGGAUGUGUAAACAUCGGUAGGGGAGCAUUCUAGCGGCGCUGAAGGUGAGAGGACAACUCUUGCUGGAGCUUCUAGAAAAGCAAAUGUAGGUAUAAGUAACGAUAAAGGAGGUGAGAAACCUCCUCGCCGAAAGACUAAGGGUUCCUGAUCAACGCUAAUCGGAUCAGGGUUAGUCGGGGCCUAAGGGGAAGCCGAACGGCGUACCCGAUGGAAGAACCGGUUAAUAUUCCGGUACUAAUUAUGUGAGCGAUGUGGAGACGGAGAUGUGACGGUCCUGCCAACUGACGGAAUAGUUGGUUGAAGGGUGUAGGAGUUGAUCUGAGUAGGCAAAUCCGCUCGGAGAUCCGAACCUGACAGUACUCUGAGUGCUUGCACAAGGAGAUAUGGACAACUGUAACGGUGCUCCCAAGAAAAUCCGCUAAGCAUAUUGCAUGAUUACCCGUACCAUAAACCGACACAGGUGGUUGGGUUGAGUAUACUAAGGCGCUCGAGUGAUUCGCGGUUAAGGAACUAGGCAAAAUAGUCCUGUAACUUCGGAAUAAAGGACGCUCACAGUGAAGGCUGUGAGCCGCAGAGAAUAGGCCCAGGCGACUGUUUAACAAAAACACAUGGCUAUGCUAAAUCGAAAGAUACUGUAUAUAGCCUGACACCUGCCCGGUGCUGGAAGGUUAAGAGGAGAUGUCAUCGCAAGAGAAGCAUUGAAUUGAAGCCCCAGUAAACGGCGGCCGUAACUAUAACGGUCCUAAGGUAGCGAAAUUCCUUGUCGGGUAAGUUCCGACCUGCACGAAUGGUGUAACGAUCUGGGUACUGUCUCAACCGCGAGCUCGGUGAAAUUGUAGUAUCGGUGAAGAUGCCGAUUACCCGCAACGGGACGAAAAGACCCCGUGAACCUUUACUAUAGCUUUGCAUUGGAUUUGGGUAACAAAUGUGUAGGAUAGGCCGGAGACUAUGAAGCGGGUACGCCAGUAUUCGUGGAGUCGCCGUUGAAAUACGGCCCUUUUGUUAUUUGGGUUCUAACUCGCGGAUGCGAGGACAUUGCAUGGUGGGUAGUUUGACUGGGGUGGUCGCCUCCAAAAGUGUAACGGAGGCUUCUAAAGGUACCCUCAGACCGAUUGGUAACCGGUCGUAGAGUGUAAUGGCACAAGGGUGCUUGACUGGGAGACUAACAAGUCGCACAGGUAGGAAACUAGAGCAUAGUGAUCCGGUGGUUCCGUAUGGAAGGGCCAUCGCUCAAAGGAUAAAA
rnacentral:rRNA from 1 species